GAUGAACGCUAGCGGCAGGCUUAAUACAUGCAAGUCGAGGGACAGCACAGGUAGCAAUACUGGGUGGUAACCGGCAAACGGGUGCGGAACACGUACACAACCUUCCUUUAAGUGGGGGAUAGCCCAGAGAAAUUUGGAUUAAUACCCCGUAAUAUAGUUGAAUGGCAUCAUUUGAUUAUUAUAGCUACGGCGCUUAAUGAUGGGUGUGCGGCUGAUUAGAUAGUUGGCGGGGUAACGGCCCACCAAGUCCACGAUCAGUAGCUGAUGUGAGAGCAUGAUCAGCAACACGGGAACUGAGACACGGGCCCGACUCCUACGGGAGGCAGCAGUAAGGAAUAUUGGUCAAUGGACGCAAGUCUGAACCAGCCAUGCCGCGUGAAGGAUUAAGGUCCUCUGGAUUGUAAACUUCUUUUAUUUGGGACGAAAAAGGGCCUUUCUAGGUCAACUGACGGUACCAGAUGAAUAAGCACCGGCUAACUCCGUGCCAGCCGCCGCGGUAAAAC
rnacentral:rRNA from 1 species